UGGCUGUAGGAUCUUUGAAAGAGGUUAGUCGAGACCCUCUUCUGUUAGGGUUAAUUUUUAUUUUCUGAUAAGCAGAACUUUAAUCCCACCUCUCUACACACUCAGCUCCAGUCUCACAUCAAGAUAGACUUCUGCUCGACCAAUGAUUACCACAUCAAGGGCUGCAGUACAGUGGUGAUGUUCAGUCUGGGCCAUGAAAACACUUGGGGUGGUGUGACCUGUCUGUAGGUCAGGUUUUGGUAAAAGGUGGAUUUUGGGCUCAUCCAGAAGACCAUCCACCGACAAGAGCAUCCACUAUAGAACUGUGAGCAGCUAACUGGAUAGUGAGCCCAACCUUCGAGACCUCAAGUGGGAUUAAGAAGACUGUUUCUUCUAAGGAAGAACUUCCUUCGCUACUUCAUAGAGCACAGAUUAAACAGAAACACACACCUGGAUUGAACCCCAACGAAAAAGACUGGGCUUAGACACUUCAAAUGUUUGUUUUAUUUCAUGUGCACACUUUAUUAAAUUAGUUGUUAAUUGCA